rnacentral:rRNA from 1 species
UAUUGAGAGUUUGAUCCUGGCUCAGGAUGAACGCUGGCGGCGUGCCUAAUACAUGCAAGUCGAACGAGGUUAGAUUCGUCUAACCUAGUGGCGAACGGGUGAGUAACACGUAGGUAACCUGCCCUUCAGUUGGGAAUACCUAGAGGAAACUUUAGUUAAUACCGAAUAAUUACGAGGAAGGCAUCUUCCUUUUAUAAAAGUAGCAAUUGCUACGCUGAUGGAUGGACCUGCGGCGCAUUAGCUAGUUGGUAGGGUAACGGCCUACCAAGGCUCGGAUGCGUAGCCGACCUGAGAGGGUGAUCGGCCACAAUGGGACUGAGACACGGCCCAUACUCCUACGGGAGGCAGCAGUAGGGAGUUUUCGGCAAUGGGGGGAACCCUGACCGAGCAACGCCGCGUGAACGAUGAAGGUCUUCGGAUCGUAAAGUUCUGUUGUAGCUAGGGAAAGCACGGGAGAGUGGAAAGCUCUCGUUUUGACCCAACUACCAGAAAGCCACGGCUAACUACGUGCCAGCAGCCGCGGUAAUACGUAGGUGGCAAGCGUUAUCCGGAAUUAUUGGGCGUAAAGAGUGAGCAGGCGGCCGUUUAAGUCUGAAGUCAAAUGCAGUGGCUUAACCACUGUCCGCUUUGGAAACUGGAUGGCUAGAGUACGAGAGAAGUAAGCGGAAUUCCAUGUGUAGCGGUGAAAUGCGUAGAUAUAUGGAGGAACACCAGAGGCGAAGGCGGCUUACUAGAUCGAUACUGACGCUCAGUCACGAAAGCGUGGGUAGCAAAUAGGAUUAGAUACCCUAGUAGUCCACGCCGUAAACGAUGAGAACUAGGUGUAGGGCCAAACCCUGUGCCGAAGCUAACGCAUUAAGUUCUCCGCCUGGGGAGUACGUUCGCAAGAAUGAAACUUAAAGGAAUUGACGGGGGCCCGCACAAGCAGUGGAGCAUGUGGUUUAAUUCGAAGCUACGCGAAGAACCUUACCAGGGCUUGACAUAGUGUCUAAGACUCUAGAGAUAGAGGGAUAAUAGGUACAUACAGGUGGUGCAUGGUUGUCGUCAGCUCGUGUCGUGAGAUGUUAGGUUAAGUCCUCCAACGAGCGCAACCCUUGUCCUUAGUUGCCAGCAUUUAGUUGGGGACUCUAGGGAGACCGCCGGCGUAAGCCGGAGGAAGGUGGGGAUGACGUCAAAUCAUCAUGCUCUUUAUGUCCUGGGCGACACACGUGCUACAAUGGUCGGUACAAUGAGAUGCAAAAUCGCGAGGUAGAGCAAAUCUAUAAAGCCGAUCUCAGUUCGGAUUGGAGUCUGCAACUCGACUCCAUGAAGUCGGAAUUGCUAGUAAUCGCAAAUCAGCCAUGUUGCGGUGAAUACGUUCCCGGGCCUUGUACACACCGCCCGUCAAACCAUGAGAGCUGGUAAUACUCGAAGUCGGUGUCCUAACCCGUAAGGGAGGGAGCCGCCUAAGGUAGGACUAGUGAUUGGGGUUAAGUCGUAACAAGGUAUCCCUACGGGAACGUGGGGAUGGAUCACCUCCUUU